UAAUGCCUACAGUUAUAGAAAUAAUAGUAGAUAUACCUGAGGAUUCACAAGUGACACUUACAGGGAAUAUCGACGAACAAGAUUUUGGAUGCGAGAAAGCUUUUAGGGGUCCAUGUUCAGACAUGCCAUCUAACCAAUUACUCCAUGUCUCACGUGCUAAGUCGGGCGAUUGAUUAGCUUGGCUGCUUUUUAUGUUUAUGAAGUUAAACAUGAGAACGUUGAAUUGAGUGAUCGUGUCGCUGGGCGGCUAAGAGGAAAGAAUCUGUUGUCCUGCCUGUGUGACACAUUCAUGUUUUCUGAUUAGGAAUGCAGCUCAAUGUUAAAUUGAUUAUUGUAAUUUUUAUUUUUUUUUAGCCUUUUUCUAGAUAACAAUUUUAUUAGAUGUUUUUAGUUAAUGUCUAAUAUGUAUUUAUCAUUGUUAAAGAACUUAACUGCGGAAACUUUUGUAGUAGCUAGGUUGCUAAUUGAUAUGGCUCAAUUGCCAUUUCAGUUUGUACAUGGCUUACGUUUUGUAUAUGUAUAUGGAACAUGAUGCUUUUCCGUUCUA